rnacentral:rRNA from 1 species
UGGAUUAGUGGCGGACGGGUGAGUAACGCGUGAGUAACCUGCCUUGUACAAGGGGAUAGCCGUUGGAAACGACGAAUAAUACCCUAUGACAUGAUAUUAUCGCAUGAAAAUAUCAUCAAAGAUUUAUCGGUAUAAGAUGGACUCGCGUCUGAUUAGCUAGUUGGUAGAGUAAAAGCCUACCAAGGCAACGAUCAGUAGCCGGCUUGAGAGAGUGUACGGCCACAUUGGGACUGAGACACGGCCCAGACUCC